rnacentral:rRNA from 1 species
GUCUUUGUAGUAUACAAGGCAUACGGCUCAGUAACACGUAGUCAACCUACCCUAUGGACAAGAAUAAUCUCGGGAAACUGGGCAUAAUCCUUGAUAGAUCAUAAUGCCUGGAAUGGUUUAUGGUUAAAAUGAUUCGUCGCCAUAGGAUGGGACUGCGGCCUAUCAGCUUGUUGGUGAGGUGAUGGCCCACCAAGGCGAUUACAGGUACGGGCUCUGAGAGGAGAAGCCCGGAGAUGGGUACUGAGACACGGACCCAGGCCCUAUGGGGCGCAGCAGGCGAGAAAACUUUGCAAUGUGCGAAAGCACGACAAGGUUAAUCCGAGUGAUUUCUGCUAAAGAAACCUUUUGCCAGUCAUAAAACCACUGGUGAAUAAGGGGUGGGCAAGUUCUGGUGUCAGCCGCCUCGGUAAAACCAGCACCUCAAGUGGUCAGGAUGAUUAUUGGGCCUAAAGCAUCCGUAGCCGGCUUUGUUAGUUUUCGGUUAAAUCC